GGGUAUCUGCCUUUUGGUUUGGAAUAACAUGAGGAAACUUGUGCUAAUACCGGAUAAGCCCUUACGGGGAAAGUUUUAACGCCGAAAGAUGAGCCCGCACUUGAUUAGCUAGUUGGUAGGGUAAAAGCCUACCAAGGCAACGAUCAAUAGCUGUUCUUAGAGGAAGACCAGCCACAUUGGGACUGAGACACGGCCCAGACUCCUACGGGAGGCAGCAGUGGGGAAUCUUGCACAAUGGGGGAAACCCUGAUGCAGCGAUGCCGCGUGAGUGAAGAAGGCCUUUGGGUUGUAAAGCUCUUUCGUCGGGGAAGAAAAUGACUGUACCCGAAUAAGAAGGUCCGGCUAACUUCGUGCCAGCAGCCGCGGUAAUACGAAGGGAUCUAGCGUAGUUCGGAAUUACUGGGCUUAAAGAGCUCGUAGGUGGUUAAAAAAGUUGGUGGUGAAAUCCCAAGGCUUAACCUUGGAACUGCCAUCAAAACUUUUUAACUAGAGUAUGAUAGAGGAAAGUGGAAUUUCUAGUGUAGAGGUGAAAUUCGUAGAUAUUAGAAAGAACACCGAUUGCGAAGACAACUUUCUGGAUCAUUACUGACACUGAGGAGCGAAAGCAUGGGUAGCGAAGAGGAUUAGAUACCCUCGUAGUCCAUG
rnacentral:rRNA from 1 species